rnacentral:rRNA from 1 species
AGAGUUUGAUCAUGGCUCAGAUUGAACGCUGCGGCAUGCUUACACAUGCAAGUCGAACGGCAGCACGGGCUUCGGCCUGGUGGCGAGUGGCGAACGGGUGAGUAAUACAUCGGAGCGUACCCAGAAGUGGGGGAUAACGCAGUGAAAGUUGCGCUAAUACCGCAUACGUUCUACGGAAGAAAGUGGGGGAUCUUCGGACCUCAUGCUUUUGGAGCGGCCGAUGUCUGAUUAGCUAGUUGGUGGGGUAAAGGCUCACCAAGGCGACGAUCAGUAGCUGGUCUGAGAGGACGACCAGCCACACUGGAACUGAGACACGGUCCAGACUCCUACGGGAGGCAGCAGUGGGGAAUUUUGGACAAUGGGCGCAAGCCUGAUCCAGCAAUGCCGCGUGAGUGAAGAAGGCCUUCGGGUUGUAAAGCUCUUUUGUCAGGGAAGAAACGGCUCCGGCUAAUAUCUGGGGCUAAUGACGGUACCUGAAGAAUAAGCACCGGCUAACUACGUGCCAGCAGCCGCGGUAAUACGUAGGGUGCAAGCGUUAAUCGGAAUUACUGGGCGUAAAGCGUGCGCAGGCGGUUUUGUAAGUCUGUCGUGAAAGCCCCGGGCUCAACCUGGGAAUUGCGAUGGAGACUGCAAGGCUUGAAUCUGGCAGAGGGGGGUAGAAUUCCACGUGUAGCAGUGAAAUGCGUAGAGAUGUGGAGGAACACCGAUGGCGAAGGCAGCCCCCUGGGUCAAGAUUGACGCUCAUGCACGAAAGCGUGGGGAGCAAACAGGAUUAGAUACCCUGGUAGUCCACGCCCUAAACGAUGUCUACUAGUUGUCGGGUUUUAAUUAACUUGGUAACGCAGCUAACGCGUGAAGUAGACCGCCUGGGGAGUACGGUCGCAAGAUUAAAACUCAAAUGAAUUGACGG